CCCUUAGACGUUCUGGGCCGCACGCGCGCUACACUGACACAGGCAACGAGCUUUCCUUUACCGAAAGGUAUGGGUAAUCUUUUGAAACUGUGUCGUGCUGGGGAUAGAUCCUUGCAAUUUUUGAUCUUAAACGAGGAAUUCCUAGUAAGCGCGAGUCAUCAACUCGCGUUGAUUACGUCCCUGCCCUUUGUACACACCGCCCGUCGCUCCUACCGAUUGAAUGUUCCGGUGAGCUCUUCGGACUGCGCGGUCUGCAGUUUCUGCGUUCCGUGCGGAAAGUUGCGCAAACCUUAACAUUUAGAGGAAGGAGAAGUCGUAACA
rnacentral:rRNA from 1 species